UCUCCCUCUCUUAAUCUCUCAUCCAUCGAUCCUUCUCUCAUUCGUAAACCCUAAAAGCCGAAACGCCUAUUCAGAAGCUCAAUCAAUCGACCCCGUGCGAGAACGAUUAAUCCAUCUUCAAUACUCAAUAGUGAAUAUCGACGGUAAUGAUGGAUUUGAAGAAGUUAAAUCGAGUUAGGGUUUUUAUCGAUGAUUUGCUGAUCGAUUAUCACAUCCAUGUCGUUCCGUUACUUUAUCUCCAAACUCAUGCGCACCACUGAUUCACCAUAUUCCAAAAUCUUUAAAGAAGGGUAGGAAUUUGAUCCAAAUUGUUGGGGAUUCGUGUAUGAUACUAUGUAACUGAAUGAGCCGAUUGCAGGGCAUAUAGUGAACACUCAAAUACUGCAAGUCAUACAGUAAACAACAAAUAGUUAGUACCAAUUACCUGUCUUUUAAUAUAUGGUUAAAAAGAGGUGGCGAAGGGACUGAAUUGUAAUUUGCUUA